rnacentral:rRNA from 1 species
GACGAACGCUGGCGGCACGCCUAACACAUGCAAGUCGAACGGUGAAGAGGAGCUUGCUCCUCGGAUCAGUGGCGGACGGGUGAGUAACACGUGAGCAACCUGCCUUACAGAGGGGGACAACAGUUGGAAACGACUGCUAAUACCGCAUAACAUAUUAUGAGGGCAUCCUCGUAAUAUCAAAGGAGCAAUCCGCUGUAAGAUGGACUCGCGUCCAAUUAGAUAGUUGGUGAGGUAACGGCUCACCAAGUCGACGAUCCAUAGCCGGCCUGAGAGGGUGAACGGCCACAUUGGGACUGAGACACGGCCCAAACUCCUACGGGAGGCAGCAGUGGGGAAUAUUGCACAAUGGGGGAAACCCUGAUGCAGCGACGCCGCGUGAGUGAAGAAGUAUUUCGGUAUGUAAAGCUCUAUCAGCAGGGAAGAAAAUGACGGUACCUGACUAAGAAGCCCCGGCUAACUACGUG